rnacentral:tRNA from 1 species
GGGAAUAUAGCUCAACGGUAGAGCAGUAGGCUUUUAACCUAUUGGUUGCGGGUUCGAAUCCCUCUAUUCUCA